rnacentral:tRNA from 1 species
AGUUUUGAAACAAAUAAUUGUAAUCAGUUUCGACCUGAUAUUUAAGUUUUAAGUAAACUCUAAACUU